UAGGGAUAGAUACCCUAUUAUUUUAAGCUAUAUAUUGGUAGUAAUUAAUAAUUUAUGAAAUCAUAAGAUUUUGGCGGUAUUUUAAGCUUAUUAGAGGAAUUUGCUCUGUGAUGGAUACAACGCCUCGAUCUUACUUAAUUUGGUUUUAAAAGUCAGUUUGUAUACCACUAUAUUUAAUUAUAUUGAAUAAUUAUAUUUAAGAUUUUUAUAAAAAAAAUAUAUUAAGUCAAGGUGCAAUUAAUAAUUAUGAAUGAAGUGAAUUACAUUAAUUUUAAUUUUAUUAAAAUAUUGAAAAAAAAAUUUUUAGGAUUUAAUAGUAAAAUGUUAA
rnacentral:rRNA from 1 species